CCUUCUGGUGUGCCUGGCUUGACCACUGGGUGGCAGUAAUGUAUAAUACUGUCAAACAGACACAAAUGAAGAAGAAUAACUUCAUUGUUCUUUCAUUCUUCUUCACCGACUAAUGACGCAGCAUAUGGAGCAACUGGGGGUUCAGGAUCUUGCUCAGUGGCACUUGGACAUGUUCACAGGGGCUGGGGAUCGAAUCCACAACCUUUGGAUUGAGAUACCACCACUCUACCACCUGAGCCAUGCCGUCCCCUAAGCUGUAAUAGUAGUCAUUUUUCGUGGAGGAUAAAGUAUGUAUAUAUGCCUAAAUGUGAGGAGGAGACCCCGGGGACGACCCGGGACACUCUGGAGAGACUACGUCUUUUGGCUGGCCUGGGAACGCCUCGGGAUCCCCCUGGAAGACCUGGAUGAAGUGGCUGGGGAGAGGGAAGUCUGGACGUCCCUGCUAAGGCUACUGCCCCCGCGCCCCGACCUCAGAUAAGCGGAAUCUCCACAAACUCCAUCUGAGACUGAUGACUUCUCCAGAGACGCCGCCUCCGCCACCACCAGACAAGCUUCAUGUUAACUCACAGCAUGGAGGACCUUACAUGUGACUUCCAUGGAGUUACUGUACAUGCUCGAGACUCACUCACGUUAGAGAUAUGUUCAGGGUUCACGCUGGUCACAAUCUCUCGACUUUCCAAUAGUGCUGACAUGGUAGAUGCGCUGAGUUCGUUUAAAGCCAUACUUGCUCAGGGCUCACUUAUGUUGCUUAAAUGUUAGUUAUACUGGUUCUCGGCCAAUGUUGGCAACUUGUUAGUACCAUGUUCUGGGUGCAGGGUUAGAUGCAUGCUCCGGGAAAAUGUUGGUUUUAUGUUAGUU